rnacentral:rRNA from 1 species
CAUGCAAGUCGAGCGCCCCGCAGGGGAGCGGCAGGCGGGUGAGUAACGCGUGCCACUCUACCGUGCCCUACGGAAUAGCUUCCGGGAAACUGGAAUUAAUACCGUAUACGCCCUACGGGGGAAAGAUUUAUCGGGGUACUAUGAGCCCGCGUUGGAUUACCUUUUUGGGGGGGAAAAGGCCCUCCCAAGGCGGCAAUCCAUACUGGGCCUGAAAGGAUAAUCCCCCUCUUUGGGAUUGUAACACGUCCCAAAUUCCUUCGGGAGGCACUCGUGGGGAUUUUUGCACUUGGGUCGCAGGCUUGACCCCCCUUUGCCUUGUGAUGAAUAACGUCCUCGUAAUGUAAGCUCUUUUCCCCGUGAAAAAAAUAUGGCCUUUUCCUUUAAAAAAAACCCCCCGGUUUAAUUUUGUGCCAGCCUCCCCCGGUUAU